rnacentral:rRNA from 1 species
GUAUUAAUAAGGGGAGGAAAAGAAACCAACAGGGAUUCCCCUAGUAACGGCGAGUGAAGCGGGAUGAGCUCAAAUUUGAAAGCUGGCAGCAAUGUCCGCGUUGUCAAUCUCGAGAGUUGUUUUCCGCGCUGGACCACGUACAAGUUCCUUGGAAUAGGAUGUCAUAGAGGGUGAAAAUCCCGUACUUGAUGUGGACGCCCAGUGCUUUGUGAUACAUCUUCGAAGAGUCGAGUUGUUUGGGAAUGCAGCUCAAAAUGGGUGGUAAAUUCCAUCUAAAGCUAAAUAUUGGGGAGAGACCGAUAGCGCACAAGUA